rnacentral:rRNA from 1 species
UACGUAGGGCGCAAGCGUUAUCCGGAAUUAUUGGGCGUAAAGAGCUCGUAGGCGGUGUGUCGCGUCGGCCGUGAAAACCUGCAGCUUAACUGUGGGCUUGCGGUCGAUACGGGCAUCACUGGAGUUCGGCAGGGGAGACUGGAAUUCCUGGUGUAGCGGUGAAAUGCGCAGAUAUCAGGAGGAACGCCGGUGGCGAAGGCGGCUCACUGGACUGGUAUUGACGCUGAGGUGCGAAAGCGUGGGGAGCAAACAGG